GCGUCGGUGGUUCAACGGUUAAGCACACGCUCUCGGAAAGAGUAAGAUCUGGGUUUGAAUCCCGGCUGACACA